rnacentral:rRNA from 1 species
AGAGUUUGAUCAUGGCUCAGGAUGAACGCUAGCGGCAGGCUUAAUACAUGCAAGUCGAGGGGCAGCAUGACUGUAGCAAUACAGUUGAUGGCGACCGGCAAACGGGUGCGGAACACGUACGCAAUCUACCCAAAACUGAUGAAUAGCCCUCCGAAAGGAGGAUUAAUACAUCGUAACUUAAUGAAGUGGCAUCACUUUAUUAAUAUAGCUCCGGCGGUUUUGGAUGAGCGUGCGCCUGAUUAGGUAGUUGGCGGGGUAACGGCCCACCAAGCCUGCGAUCAGUAACUGGUGUGAGAGCACGACCAGUCACACGGGCACUGAGACACGGGCCCGACUCCUACGGGAGGCAGCAGUAAGGAAUAUUGGUCAAUGGACGCAAGUCUGAACCAGCCAUGCCGCGUGAAGGAUGAAGGUCCUCUGGAUUGUAAACUUCUUUUAUGUGGGACGAAACCUCUUAUUCUUAAGAGACUGACGGUACCAUAGGAAUAAGCACCGGCUAACUCCGUGCCAGCAGCCGCGGUAAUACGGAGGGUGCAAGCGUUAUCCGGAUUCACUGGGUUUAAAGGGAGCGUAGGAGGGCAGGUAAGUCAGUGGUGAAAUCUUCGAGCUUAACUCGGAAACUGCCGUUGAUACUAUCUGUCUUGAAUACCGUGGAGAUGAGCGGAAUAUCAUGUAGCGGUGAAAUGCUUAGAUAUGACAUAGAACACCAAUUGCGAAGGCAGCUCGUUACACGAAUAUUGACUCUGAGGCUCGAAAGCGUGGGGAUCAAACAGGAUUAGAUACCCUAGUAGUCC